rnacentral:rRNA from 1 species
GACGAACGCUGGCGGCGUGCCUAAUACAUGCAAGUUGAGCGCUGAAGGUUGGUACUUGUACCGACUGGAUGAGCAGCGAACGGGUGAGUAACGCGUGGGGAAUCUGCCUUUGAGCGGGGGACAACAUUUGGAAACGAAUGCUAAUACCGCAUAAAAACUUUAAACACAAGUUUUAAGUUUGAAAGAUGCAAUUGCAUCACUCAAAGAUGAUCCCGCGUUGUAUUAGCUAGUUGGUGAGGUAAGGGCUCACCAAGGCGAUGAUACAUAGCCGACCUGAGAGGGGGCUCGGCCACAUUGGGACUGAGACACGGCCCAAACUCCUACGGGAGGCAGCAGUAGGGAAUCUUCGGCAAUGGACGAAAGGCUGACCGAGCAACGCCGCGUGAGUGAAGAAGGUUGUCGGAUCGUAAAACUCUGUUGGUAGAGAAGAACGUUGGUGAGAGUGGCAAGCUCAUCAAGUGACGGUAACUACCCAGAAAGGGACGGCUAACUACGUG